UGGGGAAUAUUGGGCAAUGGGCGAAAGCCUGACCCAGCAACGCCGCGUGAAGUAUGAAGGCCUUCGGGUUGUAAACUUCUUUGAUCAGGGAAGAAACAAAUGACGGUACCUGAAAAACAAGCCACGGCUAACUACGUGCCAGCAGCCGCGGUAAUACGUAGGUGGCGAGCGUAAUCCGGAUUUACUGGGUGUAAAGGGCGUGCAGGCGGGCUGAUAAGUCAGAUGUGAAAUCCCCGAGCUUAACUCGGGAACUGCAUCUGAUACUGUUGGUCUUGAGUGCUGGAGAGGAUAGUGGAAUUCCUAGUGUAGCGGUAAAAUGCGCAGAUAUUAGGAGGAACGCCAGUGGCGAAGGCGGCUAUCUGGACAGUAACUGACGCUGAGGCGCGAAAGCGUGGGUAGCAAACAGG
rnacentral:rRNA from 1 species